rnacentral:misc_RNA from 1 species
GAUGAAGAACGUAGCGAAAUGCGAUACGUAAUGUGAAUUGCAGAAUUCAGUGAAUCAUCGAGUCUUUGAACGCACAUUGCGCCCCCUGGUAUUCCGGGGGGCAUGCCUGUCCGAGCGUCAUUGCUGCCCUCAAGCACGGCUUGUGUGUUGGGCCUCCGUCCUCCUCCCGGGGGACGGGCCCGAAAGGCAGCGGCGGCACCGCGCCCGGUCCUCGAGCGUAUGGGGCUUCGUCACCCGCUCUUGUAGGCCCGGCCGGCGCUUGCCGACACAUCAAUCUUUUUUCCAGGUUGACCUCGGAUCAGGUAGGGAUACCCGCUGAACUUAAGCAUAUCAAUAACGGAGGA